rnacentral:rRNA from 1 species
UACAGAGGGUGCAAGCGUUAAUCGGAAUUACUGGGCGUAAAGCGUGCGUAGUCGGUUAUUUAAGUCGGGUGUGAAAGCCCCGGGCUCAACCUGGGAAUUGCAUUCGAUACUGGAUAGCUAGAGUUCGGCAGAGGGAAGCGGAAUUUCCGGUGUAGUGGUGAAAUGCGUAGAUAUCGGAAGGAACAUCAGUGGCGAACGCGGCUUCCUGGACCAGAACUGACGAUCAGGCACGAAAGCGUGGGGAGCAAACAGG